rnacentral:snoRNA from 1 species
CCUGCCCCUGAUGGCCUUACAGAUGUGACUGCUGUCAUGUGUGUGUCAGUAGCUGGCAGAGAGGAGAGAUAUUACAUCAAAGUUCUGACCUAUGGACAUCUGAAUGGUUAGCAGCCUAAUAUU